GCAGCCGCGGUAAUACGUAGGGGGCAAGCGUUGUCCGGAAUGAUUGGGCGUAAAGGGCGCGUAGGCGGCUCGGUAAGUCUGGAGUGAAAGUCCUGCUUUCAAGGUGGGAAUUGCUUUGGAUACUGUCGAGCUUGAGUGCAGGAGAGGUAAGUGGAAUUCCCAGUGUAGCGGUGAAAUGCGUAGAGAUUGGGAGGAACACCAGUGGCGAAGGCGACUUACUGGACUGUAACUGACGCUGAGGCGCGAAAGUGUGGGGAGCAAACAGGAUUAGAUACCCC
rnacentral:rRNA from 1 species